rnacentral:lncRNA from 1 species
CUCUAGCCAUGAGAAAAUUGCGUGCUUUGGAUUUUGUAUGAUAAGAUAUGUGUCUGAUUGUCCCAAAUUUUAUGUAAAAUAACUCUUACUUCUUUUUGCAGAUUGACCAAUCAGAUAUUACAAGUGUUAAAAGCAACAACACUGGGAGCUAAAAAGAGCAAAGAGAGUUUCACAUACAAGAUAGAGAUGGCAUCAGGACACAGUGAACAACGAAAGCAGCAGCAGUGAUGAUUCAUGUUGCUAUAAUGCAUCAACUGAGCAAAGUUACCUAAUCAUCAGUAUGAAGACUGUGAAAACAACUUCACAGGGGGAUAAAGCAAUACACAGAAUGAGCAGUAAUCAUGCAGCCGGUCAUUCUCAUGGCUGCCCCUUUGACGAGAGAGCUACCAAGUCUUACAGCUUUUAAGGUUGAUGGACCAACAUAGUUUUCCUCACUACAACAGAAGGAACAGCUCAUGUUAAUUUCAUGUGAUUGCAAAUGAAAACAAGGAACAAAGUUUUGAAUAGAUUGCAAGGUGAAUGCUGUGCUGUUUGAUGCAGCAGUGGGUGGAACUGAGGAUGACAGAGAGAAGCAAGAAGCCCUUUGUGGCAAGCAUGAAGCCAUGAACACCAAUCAUCAGAGAGACAGAGACCUCAUUAUCCACAGCAGCCAUGGUGCAGAA